UCCCACCAGGAAUUUCAGCUCUGCUCUUGUAGCCCUAAGGGAAAUGAGUCAGUGGGAGGAGCUGAGGAAAACAAAGAGAGGAAGGAAGGAGGCAGUUCCGGGUUUCCCACAGGAGUUCUGAGGAUCUCCCAGAUCAAAGGGCAGUGAACACAGACUCCACUUCUCAAAGGAGGAGGAUCAGUUUCACACUGGGACUGGCAUAGGCUGGUGCAGCCAUCUUUGGAAAAUACCAUCUUCCUCAAGUGAAUAUUUAAAACCAGAGACCAUCAAACCAGAUGAUCAUGUGGCAAGUGUUCCAGCCAGUUCCAGAUGAAGACACCACCCCCUGAAGAAGCUACCCUAUUUCCACUAGACAGAGGAGGGCGAGAAUUCCAUGAUUCCAUGAUUCCCAAUAUGUAAGGACUACACCUCAAUCAGCAUGAGGCAAUUACAGAAGAAAGACCAUUGGUCCCUCUGCCUCCCAUAAAGAUUUAUGGGGAUCACAUCUCUCAGGGAAAAAUGAGGCAGGAGAAUAGGGUCUGGAGGCAGGGAUCAUAAGGCUGAUUCACACUGACUUCCUAGAACUAAAUCAAAAGGAAAACCCCAACUUUCCACACCUAAGUAACAAAAGGACUGGAGGCUACUCCCUUUGCAAACCACCCCCUGCCGCCCUUUUUCUACAUGGUAGAUGGAAAAUUUAAAGUAUCUCUAAUUGGUUGCAGGUUGCAGAAAGCAACCAAUCAGAGGCUUGCAUAGGAGUGUAACUUUGUAACUUCAGCCUCUGAUUGGUUGCUUUUCACAACCAAUCAGACACUUGCAUAAGUGUAACCUUUGUAACUUCAGCCUCUGACUGGUUGCUUUCCUAAACCAAACAGACUAAUUGCGGGCCAUACUUCACUUACAUAGCGUGUACACCAAGUAGUAACCAAUGGGAAACCUCUAGAUGGUAUUUAAAUCCCAGAAAAUUCUGUAAUGGGGGUCUUGAGCUCCUAUGCUCCGGCCGCUCCCACCCUGUGGAGUGUACUUUGAUUUUCAAUAAAUCUCUGCUUUUGUUGCUUCAUUCUUUCCUUGUUUUGUUUGUGUGUUUUCUUCAAUUCUUUGUUCAAAACACCAAGAACCUGUACACCCUACACCAGUAACACAUGCUAUGGUCAAUAUCUACAAUUUCUGUCUCCAAGUAUGCAAGCACUACUUUGAACCGCAUACACUAACAACUUGGUGUUCUGGGUCAUUAGUUGCAAAUCGACAGGUUCUGUUUUAGUCACAAAAUCAAGUUUCAUCACCG
rnacentral:lncRNA from 1 species